GACUUCUCUUGUGGGCAAGGGUCAGGUGAGCCUUUUUAAGGUUGUGCUCCAUGUGUUUUCCUGAAGAAAGGCUUCAACCUUACCUUGGGGUUCUUCUGAGCCAACUGCUUGACGAAUGUGGAAGUCAAUAUGGAGUAGGAACAUAUAUUUCUAUUACAUCCAUAAAAUAAUGACAUCCAGUCCUAUGGAACUCUUUACAACGUGAACAAGUAAAGUCUUCGUUGCAAGCCCAAUGUCCCUAGUAACAUGGAAGAAAAUAAAACUGCGACAUCUUUUGCUUACGUUGUUGAGGGAACUAGAGAUUAUUGUUGGAAAUUCAAGGCUAUAUAGAAUUAGGAUUUUAGUUAAACUUAUAUGGGAAGAUUUAAAUUGGAAUCUAAUUAGGAAGGAAACAAAAUCCUUUAAAUUCGGUAAACUCGGAAUGAGAAUGGGAUUUUAGAUUUGCAGUCCAAAUUGGGACUCUUUUGUCCAAUAUAGGAUUGGAUUUAGUAGUCUAUAAAAGCACGACAAGGUGGCCAAUUUAAGAAGUGCAUCGAGAGUCGAAGGCCAUUAGUGUAGAGAGAGUUGAAGGCCAUUAGUGAUGCGCAGUAGCAUGUGUUCUGAGGGUCAUCGAAAUAAUUAAGAUUGUUGAGUGUUUUGUGAGUGAUCUUGAUAGUAAGAAAAAUAAUGAGCAGCAUUACUUUUUCCU
rnacentral:misc_RNA from 1 species